rnacentral:rRNA from 1 species
AUUGAACGCUGGCGGCAUGCCUUACACAUGCAAGUCGAACGGUAACAGGUCUUCGGAUGCUGACGAGUGGCGAACGGGUGAGUCAUACAUCGGAACGUGCCUAGUAGUGGGGGAUAACUACUCGAAAGAGUGGCUAAUACCGCAUGAGAUCUACGGAUGAAAGCAGGGGAUCGAAAGACCUUGUGCUACUAGAGCGGCCGAUGGCAGAUUAGGAAGUUGGUGGGAGAAAAGCUUACCAAGCGGACAAUCUGUAGCUGGUCUGAGAGGACGAUCAGCCACACUGGGACUGAAACACGGCCCAGACUCCUACGGGAGGCAGCAGUGGGGAAUUUUGGACAAUGGGCGCAAGCCUGAUCCAGCAAUGCCGCGUGCAGGAUGAAGGCCUUCGGGUUGUAAACUGCUUUUGUACGGAACGAAAAGCCCUGGGUUAAUACCCUGGGGUCAUGACGGUACCGUAAGAAUAAGCACCGGCUAACUACGUGCCAGCAGCCGCCGUAAAAC